rnacentral:rRNA from 1 species
GAUGAACGCUGGCGGCGUGCCUAAUACAUGCAAGUCGAGCGAACUGACGAGUAUCUUGCUUUUCUGAUGUUAGCGGCGGACGUGUGAGUAACACGUGUAUAUCCUACCUAUAAGACUUGGAUAACUUCGGGAAACCGCAGCUAAUAUCUUCUAAUAUUUUCAACCACAUGGUUAAUGAGUGAAAGACGGUCUUGCUGUCACUUAUAGAUUGAUCCGCGCUGCAUUAGCUAUUUGGUAAGGUAACGGCUUACCAAGGCAACGAUGCCUAGCCGACCUGAGAGGGAGAACGGGUACACUGGAACUGAGAAACGGUCCAGACACCUACGGGAGGAAGCAGUAGGGAAUCUUACGCAAUGGGGGAAAGCGUGACGGAGCAAAGCCGCGGGAGUGAUGAAGGUCUUCGGAUCGUAAAACUAUGUAAUAAGGGAAGAACAUAUGUGUAAGUAACUGUGAACAUAAUGACGGUACCUAAUCAGAAAGCCACGGCUAACUACGUG